AAAAACAACCAGCCGAAAUCAGCCGCGGUCGAUGUUACUCUCAGCCGAGUUAAGUCGCCGCCGACAUUUUUGAAUAUCGGUUCCGCCGCCGCCGUAAUUUUUUGGCCGGCGCUCGGGUCUAAUUUGUACCGGUUGAGU